rnacentral:lncRNA from 1 species
UCCUACUUAACUUCAGCCUUGGCCCUUGAACCUUCAGAUAAACAAUCCGUGUCUGAUUCUAUUUGUUUAUCAAGCUCCCUAGAAAAUAUGCAGCUGUCACCAAUUAACAUUUGGAUUCAAUAUUCGGAAUUUCGGAUGAUAAGCUGUCUGAAAAUUUUGGAAGCAAUCCAGCGAGGCAGCGAUCCAGCCGUUCAUUCGUUUGUGGUUUGUGGAUGCUGAGGACUGUCGCUAGGUGGCGAGUGCCCAUUCGUUAGUGACAAUUUGUGCCAUUUGUUUCCGAGACGCUGUGCGAGUGAGAUAAUUAAUGCAAAUCGUAAUGGUUUACUGCGAAUUAAAUAGUUAUUUGUAUGGCAUCAUAGCGUGCAAUUUCUACUUGGCAAUUUCAUCUGAUCGUGUGGAACAGCUGUACAUUUUGCCAAAAUAUCUCUUUUCCUAUACCUGAAGUGCACGUUUCGUCAACUUCAGAACAAUUAAAGAUUAACAGCCUGGUAAAGUCUUCAGAGCUCCCUUGUUGUUGCACAACAUGCACAUGGAUUUGAUGUAGCCAGAUGGUUAAAGAUGUGCACUAAUUGAAGGCCAGUUGUUCCCUAGUUGAUGUCCGAUGUGGGACGUUGUUGCAGCCUAUGCUGGUGAAAGAUCUUUUUACAUCUCAUGUUAAACUGCAGGCUGUUCCUUGGUGCUGGUGUCGUGUUACCGAAGUUGCAUCAUUGUUUUGUUUGAUUGUCAUUGGGUCUGCAGUUUAUCGUUUACAUGUUAUGAGGGAACAAAAACAGAAAUCUGGGGAAUUCAUGUCAAACAAUUAAUAAACAUGUUUUGAGAUUGGGAAAGGAAUGUAGAGGAUGUUGGGGGGGGGGAGAUUGAAUUUUAAAAAAAAUUUAGAGGUUUGUUGUAAAUAAAAUAUUACCUACAUGUUAGGUAAUGAUUAAAACCAUAACUUAUAAUCCCACCAUAAUACACCGUCAUAUUUUUCCCACAUCCCUAUAACCUUUAAUCCAACAAACAUACCUACAUAUAGUUUUCCUUUCCAUAUAACUCUUGUAAUGUGCAAUAUGAAUUUAAUAGUCAAUAAAAUCUAAAUUGUUU